UAGGGAAUAUUAGUAAUGGGCGAAAGCCUGAACUAGCAACGCCGCGUGUGCGAAGAAGGCCUUCGGGUUGUAAAGCACUUUUUGAGAGGAUGAGGAAGGACGGUACUCUCAGAAUAAGUCUCGGCUAACUACGUGCCAGCAGCCGCGGUAACACGUAGGAGGCAAACGUUACCCGGAUUUACUGGGCGUAAAGCGCGUGUAGGUGGUUUGGUAAGUAGGGCGUGAAAGCUCCUGGCUCAACUGGGAGAGGACGUUCUAAACUGCCGAGCUUGAGGAUGGUAGAGGGAGGUGGAAUUCCGGGUGUAGCGGUGGAAUGCGCAGAUAUCCGGAGGAACACCAGUGGCGAAGGCGGCCUCCUGGACCACUCCUGACACUCAGACGCGAAAGCUAGGGUAGCAAACGGG
rnacentral:rRNA from 1 species